rnacentral:rRNA from 1 species
UACGUAGGGUGCAAGCGUUGUCCGGAAUUAUUGGGCGUAAAGAGCUCGUAGGCGGUCUGUCGCGUCUGCUGUGAAAAUCCAGGGCUCAACCUCCAGACGUCGACGGAAACCGUGUGGCUAGAGUCCGGAAGAGGAGAGUGGAAUUCCUGGUGUAGCGGUGAAAUGCGCAGAUAUCAGGAGGAACACCGGUGGCGAAGGCGGGUCUCUGGGCAACUACUGACGCUGAGGAGCGAAAGCGUGGGGAGCGAACAGG